UUUUUUUUUUUUGUGAACACGCUCACACUCCAGCUGUCCGUCUCCAAACUCCCUCACUUCUCACACUAAGGAGGCAGAACAAGGCAACAAGGCAGGAGAAGGGCCAGAGAGGAGCAACAGAGAGCAAAAGAGGCCGGAAGAGAAGAGGAGUGUAAAGGAAGAGCCAGAGACACACUCUAAAAGCGGAAUCCAAGGCCACCACCACCACCACCAGAAGAAAGUUCUUAAAAAAAAUAAAAGUGACCUAUUCCGCAGUGUGAUUUCAAACCUUGGGUUAAAGCCUUUGCUCUCAUCCUUACCUGAGACCCUGCAGCGUGUUCCAGUGUGUAUCUGUGUGUGUUUGUGUUUGCCACACUACUUUUACGGUUUCUCUAAUCUGCAAAGAGGCAGGUGAAAGUGUCUCUGUGUGAAGAUGUGGUCCGUGUGUGUUUCAUUUGUAUGUGUGUACGUUUCUGUGCUCCUCCACCAAGCUAUUUCACAGCCGCCCACAGAAAGUGACACCUACACGGAAUGCACAGAUGGCUAUCACUGGGAUCCACAAACUCAACACUGCAAAGACAUAAAUGAAUGUGAAACAAUCCCAGAGGCGUGUAAGGGUGAGAUGAAGUGCUUCAACCAUUAUGGUGGCUACUUGUGUCUCCCGCGCUCUGCCUCAGUAAUCCCUGCCCCUGAUCCACCCAACCAAAUCCCUGCUGGUGUGGGAAACACCUCAAGCGAGCCCUACAACCCCUGUCCCAGCGGCUAUGAGGCUCAUGGAGACAGCUGCGUGGAUAUGGAUGAGUGUGAACGGGAUGAACAUGACUGCCAGCCCAGUCAGGAGUGCAUCAAUACAGAGGGCUCAUUUACUUGCCAGUGUCCGAAUGGAUACCGCAAAGUGGGAACGGAGUGCAUCGACAUUGAUGAGUGUCGGUACCGGUACUGCCAGCACCGCUGCGUUAACGUGCCCGGUUCUUUCUCCUGCCAGUGCGAGCCUGGCUUCCAGCUGGCAGGCAACAAUCGGUCCUGCAUUGACGUGGACGAGUGCAACAUGGGCGCCCCCUGUAGUCAGAGGUGUUAUAACACCUAUGGCACUUUCCUUUGCCGCUGUGAGCAGGGUUACGAGCUGGGGCCAGACGGAUUCACCUGCAAAGACAUAGACGAGUGCAGUUUCUCUAGUUACCUUUGUCAGCACCAGUGUGUAAACGAGCCUGGCAAAUUCUCGUGUGUCUGCCCAGAAGGCUACCAGCUCCUUGGGACUCGUCUCUGCCAAGAUAUAAAUGAGUGUGAGACAGGAGCGCACCAGUGCACUGAUAGCCAGACGUGUGUGAACGUUCAUGGCGGUCAUCGCUGCGUUGACACGAACCGCUGUCAGGAGCCCUACGUUCAAGUAUCAAACAAUCGCUGUGUGUGUCCUGUCUCUAAACCUGGCUGCCGAGACUUACCCUUCACCAUUGUGCACCGUUAUAUGAGCAUCACCUCAGAACGGUCCGUACCCUCUGACAUUUUCCAGAUCCAGGCCACAAGCGUCUACCCUGGAGCCUACAACACCUUCCGCAUCCGCUCUGGAGAUGACAAUGGAGACUUCUACAUCAGGCAAAUCAACAAUAUCAGUGCCAUGUUGGUGCUAGCCCGUGCUGUGACUGGACCCAAAGAGUAUGUUCUGGACUUGGAGAUGGUUUCGGUCAACCCCCUCAUGAGCUACCAGACAAGUUCAGCUCUCCGCUUAUCAGUCUAUGUGGGGCCUCAUACUUUCUAAAUCAGAGUUACAGUUAGAGCAGGGAGGGGGAGAAGGGCUAGCAAAUAAAAAGCGGCAGAGGUGUGAAGUACGGACGACAAAUCCAUUGAGGAUGAGGAGGAGUUGAGUUGGAGAUACUGGUAUAAAUAGCAGAACAUCUCCCCAAGUUUGCUGGAAGAGCAAUACCAAGCUAUCUCAUAAGAAAUCAAAACAAACUAUACAACUACUACUUCACAAGUGAUGCUGGUCUUACAGACAGACUCCAAGGAUGCUACUCAAACUUUACACAGGUGAGGAUGAUGACAAGAUCACCAUUUUACUUUCAUAUGCAUGUAGUAGAGACAAAGAAAGACAGAAAAUUGAUGUACUUGCUUUUAUUCAGUGUGUCAAGAUGUCUUCAGUGCCUCUCAGUCACUGUAGUCGAUUUUCUUUCAAGGAUGAUGAAUUGAGGUUCAGGAGCUGGUGAAUUUAGAGCUACAGUUCAUAGUUUGCUUGAAAAAAAAAUGUUUAGUCAGAGGAGAAAUAAAUAUUCUGUAAUGUCAAAUGUCCUCAUACCCUGACAUGAGGCAUGAAAGAAAUAAACAAACCAGACAAUCAAAAAGCAAGAAGCGAUUUUAAAAAUGUAAUUUGGUGGGAAACUAAAGAAUGAUAUUCAUCUAAUUGAUCCUUGUUGUGUAAUUUGCAUCACUACCAGUUGAGAAUUUGUUGAUCUAGAAAACUGAGGUUAGCUGGCUACCUACUGAAUACCAAAACAUCCAAAAGAUAAAUUUUUCCAAUGUUCAAAAGAUUUCCACUGAAUAGCCAAAAUGAAUGUGUUUAUAACACCUUUUUAAAAAGUUGGAUCUCACCUGAAUGUCUUGACAAGGUUUACUAUAGG